rnacentral:rRNA from 1 species
AACAAGUCGUUAGUAUUGAACGUCCCCUCCCCGNCGGUUCUAACCCANAGAAAGCCACGGNNNGACANGGCUAACUACGUGCCAGCAGCCGCGGUAAUACGUAGGUGGCAAGCGUUGUCCGGAUUUAUUGGGCGUAAAGCGAGCGCAGGCGGUUUCUUAAGUCUGAUGUGAAAGCCCCCGGCUCAACCGGGGAGGGUCAUUGGAAACUGGGAGACUUGAGUGCAGAAGAGGAGANGA